rnacentral:rRNA from 1 species
UACGUAGGGUGCGAGCGUUGUCCGGAAUUACUGGGCGUAAAGAGCUCGUAGGUGAUUUGUCGCGUUGUUCGUGAAAACCGGGGGCUUAACCCUCGGCGUGCGGGCGAUACGGGCAGACUUGAGUACUGCAGGGGAGACUGGAAUUCCUGGUGUAGCGGUGGAAUGCGCAGAUAUCAGGAGGAACACCGGUGGCGAAGGCGGGUCUCUGGGCAGUAACUGACGCUGAGGAGCGAAAGCGUGGGGAGCGAACAGG